rnacentral:rRNA from 1 species
CAGCAGCCGGCGGGAAUACGGAGGGGGCGAGCGUUAUCCGGAAUUAUUGGGCGUAAAGGGUACGUAGGUGGCCUUUUAAGCGUAGGGUAUAAGGCAAUGGCUCAACCAUUGUUCGCCCUAUGAACUGGAAGGCUUGAGUGCAGGAGAGGAAAGCGGAAUUCCUAGUGUAGCGGUGGAAUGCAUAGAUAUUAGGAGGAACAUCAGCGGCGAAGGCGGAUUUCUGGACUGCAACUGACACUGAGGUACGAAAGCGUGGGGAGCAAGCAGGAUUAGAUACCCGCGUAGUCCCUGUCUCUUAUAC